UGUAGUAAAGAUUGUUUGCCAACAUAACAUGGCAGUCAUGGUUUAGGACUAAUGUUGCUGUAAUUUAGCCCCAGGAGACAUUGUCUCCAGCUGGCUAUACGACACAAUCUGUGACCUUAUAUUUUCGAACAAGGGAAUCUAACACCCCCACUCAGCUCAAAACAAUAUCUGUGUAUCGCGAUUUCUGAGUUAUUUCUCUUCAUUAGUAUAGAAUAAUUGUUUGGCUAGAGGUUUAUUCUUUAUUACAGGCACAAGGCCUAACACAGAGGGGACAUACACAAACAUGCGGGAACAAAAAACACAUGGAAGGAUGAAUAUAAAAUGAAUUAAAUUACAAUGAAAAUGAGAUGGCUAUCUUGCUCCUGCUCUGAGGUGAAACCGUGAAUUCCUUUUUCCUUUAAAACUUUACAUUUUAUGUAACAAUUUCCAGCCCCACUCCAAGGUGAAACCAUGACUUUCCUUUUCAUUUUCACCUUACAAUUUUAAAACAUUUUAAACAAAUGUUCAUUCAUAUAGUUACAGAAUUUACUUAUUUUCUUUUUCUUUUUCAUUUUUAAACAAAAAGUUUAACCAAAUGUUUUUCUCAAUCUUUCACAUUCUUUAAAUUAAAUCACGACUUACUGCUUCAUCCUCUCCCUUUCACCCACAUAAUUCUCCAACGAGGCACAAGGUUCAACAUCCACCUCCGGCCUGUGGGUUCACUCUUUCAAUUCUGAAACUCUUUUAACUAUUAGGGUGUCCUACUUUUUUUAAAAAUCCUGCUUCUGUCUGUAUCUUGCAUGUCUGAUUUUUUUUGACUUUGUAUUUCUGCAAUUCUUGUCCUUCUUGUGAUUGUGUUUGUGUGUUCGUUUGACAGUAAUUCUGCGUGUUUCAUCUGUGUGUCUAUGUCUUUAUGUUUCCUUAAUUCUGAAUUAUCUUGUUUCUGUACAUCUAUACCUCUGUGCUUUUGCAUGUCUAUGUGCUUGAGUGUCUGAAUGUUUCUGUAUUUGUAAGUCCUUUACUGGUAAUCCUACAGGUGAAUCUUCCUCAUUUCUCAUCAUAGGUUGGCUUACGUCUUCCAUUUCUUUGUACUUCUUCAGUUCCACUAUCGUUGGUAACUUCCUCUUCUCUCUUUUUCUUGCUUUCACCUCUUCAAAAUUCCUGUCUUGUUCUGUUAUCUGUUUCUGCUGUCUCUCUACCAUUAUAUUCUCCUGAAUACUCUCCUCUACAAUUCCCACUGCUGCUCUUUGGCAUUGCUUUCUCAAGUGCCCUCAUUCACCACAUUCGUAACAUUUUGGGGGUCUUCCUUCCAACAUUAUCUCUAGCUUUUCUUCAUUUGGUAGCCCUAAAAUUUCAGGUAUUUCAUUGUAAUAUUUUGGGUUCACUGCACAAAUUAUCUCUAAUCUGUAGCCCCAUCCCUUCACUUGUUGGGUUUGGCUUAUCAUGCCCAUCUUCACUUCUUUGCUUUCCUUCCUCAUCUCUGAAUAAAAAAUCACGGCUAUUAUCCACUCUUGGUCUAUCCACGAUGGGAUUCUUACCACCCUAAUUCUGACAACUCUUUUGUCCAAACAGUUUGGCAUCAAAGUCCAUUUUUCUCCCUGUAUCAGCCUGUUGGAGGUUUUUUUCUGCCUGCUCUUCUGAUAAAAAGAUUACCACUAUCGACACAUAUCACUUUCCUCUCGUAAAGAACAUUAUACUGUCUCCUAUAAGUUCUUCCAAAAUUUCUUCUAUUUCUUCCAGCGUGUGUUCAAUUCUAUUUUUAUUCGAAAAUGUUCCGAAUAUCACCAUCUUCUUUUCCAUUUUCACUUUUCCCCCUCUGGCAGGGUCAUUUUUAUAUUUGACCCUUCCUUCUCUACCAUACUACUAUAUUUCUUUAUCAGCUCUCCAUUCCACUGUAACAUCUGUUUCAGCACAUGUGGGUCUAGGGGAACUUGAUCUCCAGUAGCUUCUGCAUAACUUCUCAUUUUCCUCAGUUAUUCACCACCUCCCAACAUUGGUGGUUUCACACAAAAAAUUAGGCUAGAGUUCUUCAAAAACAACAAAAAAAAUUGUUCAGCUAGAGGUGGUGCUGCCAAAUUCCCAUUUGAAAUAUAUAGUUUUCAAAGUGACAACUAGUCACUGAUCUAUAAAUUAGAAAAUUACGAUUUUUAAAUCUCACAAUGUGAGGUAUUCAGCAACAGUACUUUGUAGUAAAGAUUGUUUGCCAACAUAACAUGGCAGUCCUGGUUUAGGAUUAAUGUUGCUGUAAUUUAGCCCCAGGAGACAUCGUCUCCAGCUGGUUCCAUGACAUGAUCUGUAUCCUUAUAUUUUCAAACAGCUCAAAACAAUAUCUGUGUAUUACUUUUCCAGGUUAUUUUCCUUCAUCAGCACAGAAUAAUUGUUUGGCUAGAGGUGGUGUUGCCAAAUUCCCAUUCGAAAUAUAUAGUUUUCAAAGUGACAACUAGUCACUGAUCUAUAAAUUAAAAAAUUGCUAUUUUUAAAUCUCACAACGCAAGUGGGGAUGCUAGAUUCCCUUGUUCGAAAAUAUAAGGACACAAAAUGUGUCAUAUAGCCAGCUGGAGACCAUGUCUCCUGGGGUUAAAUUACAGCAACAUUCAUCCUAAACCAGGACUGCCAUGUUAUGAUGGAAAACAAUCUUUACUACAAAGUACUGUUGCUGAAGAUCUCACGUUGUGAGAUGUAAAAAUAGUAAUUUU
rnacentral:lncRNA from 1 species